rnacentral:rRNA from 1 species
UACGUAGGGUGCGAGCGUUGUCCGGAAUUAUUGGGCGUAAAGAGCUUGUAGGCGGUUUGUCGCGUCUGCUGUGAAAAUCCGGGGCUCAACCCGGACUUGCAGUGGGUACGGGCAGACUAGAGUGUGGUAGGGGAGACUGGAAUUCCUGGUGUAGCGGUGGAAUGCGCAGAUAUCAGGAGGAACACCGGUGGCGAAGGCGGGUCUCUGGGCCGAUACUGACGCUGAGGAGCGAAAGCGUGGGGAGCGAACAGG